rnacentral:rRNA from 1 species
GAUGAACGCUGGCGGUAUGCUUAACACAUGCAAGUCGAACGGACUCUUCGGAGUUAGUGGCGGACGGGUGAGUAACGCGUGAGAAUCUGGCUUUGGGUUCGGGACAACCACUGGAAACGGUGGCUAAUACCGGAUGUGCCGAGAGGUAAAAGAGAAAUUGCCUGAAGAUGAGCUCGCGUCUGAUUAGCUAGUUGGUGAGGUAAAGGCUCACCAAGGCAGCGAUCAGUAGCUGGUCUGAGAGGAUGACCAGCCACACUGGGACUGAGACACGGCCCAGACUCCUACGGGAGGCAGCAGUGGGGAAUUGUCCGAAAUGGGCGAGAGCCUGACGGAGCAAUACCGCGUGAGGGAAGAAGGCUCUUGGGUUGUAAACCUCUUUUCUUAGGGAAGAACAAAAUGACGGUACCUAAGGAAUCAGCAUCGGCUAACUCCGUG